rnacentral:rRNA from 1 species
GACGAACGCUGGCGGCGUGCUUAACACAUGCAAGUCGAACGGAAAGGCCCUGCUUUUGUGGGGUGCUCGAGUGGCGAACGGGUGAGUAACACGUGAGUAACCUGCCCUUGACUUUGGGAUAACUUCAGGAAACUGGGGCUAAUACCGGAUAGGAGCUCCUGCUGCAUGGUGGGGGUUGGAAAGUUUCGGCGGUUGGGGAUGGACUCGCGGCUUAUCAGCUUGUUGGUGGGGUAGUGGCUUACCAAGGCUUUGACGGGUAGCCGGCCUGAGAGGGUGACCGGCCACAUUGGGACUGAGAUACGGCCCAGACUCCUACGGGAGGCAGCAGUGGGGAAUAUUGCACAAUGGGCGGAAGCCUGAUGCAGCAACGCCGCGUGCGGGAUGACGGCCUUCGGGUUGUAAACCGCUUUCGCCUGUGACGAAGCGUGAGUGACGGGAAUGGGUAAAGAAGCACCGGCUAACUACGUG